GUCUAGAAGCUAGAACAGCCCGGAGGAAUUCAUUAUUCUGGGGAAAGCCAGACCUCUGUUUAUGCAGGCGCCGUGUACAAGGGUGCCCCCUACUGAGUGUGGCUGAAUAUCUGCCCGACUCCCACAGCCAAGUCUGUGACCUGACCUGGCCAAGGGCUGCCUGCCGCGACUCAGGCAGGUUCCUGACUUUUCACUGUUUUGCCCAAAGACCGGGUCUAAGCUGUGCGCCCUAGGGUUGCAUCUACCAGAAGAGGGCGCCUCCCUCCAAUGGCACAAAGACUCCCUCCAGGUCGGCGGCCGUCGCGGGCGGGGGAGGAUCCACAGCGGAAAGCCCGGGAUGCCCAGGUCCCCAGACUUUCUCUUGUUCUGUUGUCCCUGUGACACUGGAAAGGCUGAAAUUUUUUCCUACUGUAGAGGAAAACAAGCCUUCAGUGACAUUGCUGGCUUUCUGCCUUCCCAUGGGGAUUAAAGCCUCAUCUUGUGUCUUCAGCGUGAGAAAUGUGGCAUCCUUACAUACACAGGAAGGUUAAAGGACCAGAACACAAUCCACAGGAGCCUCAGCCCUGUUCUUCCUGACCCUACCUCCUGAGGAGGCCACAGCUACCAGGAUAAGGGAGUCCUCACGCCCCGCAGGCUCUUCUGAGUACUGAAGUUUCUCCGUCACAGAGCCCAGAAUGUCCUGCACAGAU